UGACCUCGGAUCAGGUAGGGAUACCCGCUGAACUUAAGCAUAUCAAUAAGCGGAGGAAAAGAAACCAACAGGGAUUGCCCUAGUAACGGCGAGUGAAGCGGCAACAGCUCAAAUUUGAAAUCUGGCGUCUUUGGCGUCCGAGUUGUAAUUUGCAGAGGGCGCUUUGGCAUUGGCAGCGGUCCAAGUUCCUUGGAACAGGACGUCACAGAGGGUGAGAAUCCCGUACGUGGUCGCUAGCCUUUACCGUGUAAAGCCCCUUCGACGAGUCGAGUUGUUUGGGAAUGCAGCUCUAAAUGGGAGGUAAAUUUCUUCUAAAGCUAAAUACUGGCCAGAGACCGAUAGCGCACAAGUAGAGUGAUCGAAAGAUGAAAAGCACUUUGGAAAGAGAGUUAAAAAGCACGUGAAAUUGUUGAAAGGGAAGCGCUUGCAGCCAGACUUGCCUGUAGUUGCUCAUCCGGGUUUCUACCCGGUGCACUCUUCUAUAGGCAGGCCAGCAUCAGUUUGGGCGGUUGGAUAAAGGUCUCUGUCAUGUACCUCCUUUCGGGGAGAACUUAUAGGGGAGACGACAUGCAACCAGCCUGGACUGAGGUCCGCGCAUCUGCUAGGAUGCUGGCGUAAUGGCUGUAAGCGGCCCGUCUUGAAACACGGACC
rnacentral:rRNA from 1 species